rnacentral:rRNA from 1 species
AUGGCUCUCGCAGACGACCACGACGAGUACGCGAAGCUAGUCCGGGGGAUGAACCCGCCGAGGGUUGUGAUCGACAACGAAGCCUCCGACGACGCAACCGUCAUCCGGGUGGACAGCGUCAACAGCCACGGCACCCUCCUCGCCGUCGUCCAGGUCAUCGCCGACCUCAACCUCGUCAUCCGCAAGGCCUACUUCUCCUCCGACGGCAGCUGGUUCAUGGACGUGUUCAAUGUCACUGACCGUGACGGGAACAAGGUUCUUGACACGCCAACCAUCUCCUACAUCCAGACGGUAAUUCAGUCAAAACUUUGGUGCCCGGACGAUGGAGUUUUUCAUUGUGACGAGGAGUUUUUGAGGAUUCAAUUUGUUGUGUGUAUGCAGACGUUGGAAGCCGAGGACUGCUACUACCCGGAGGUGCGCAACACGGUGGGCAUCGUGCCGUCGGAGGAGUACACGUCGAUCGAGCUCACGGGCACCGACCGCCCGGGCCUGCUCUCCGAGGUGUGCGCGGUGCUCGCCGGCAUGCAGUGCGCGGUCCGGAGCGCCGAGCUCUGGACGCACAACACGCGCGUCGCGGCCGUCGUGCAGGUCACGGACGCGGCCAAAGCCGCGGGCGGCGCCAUCGAGGACAAGGCCCGCAUCGCCGACAUCAGCCGGCGCCUCGACAACCUGCUGCGCGGGCAGAACGGCGUGCGAGCGGCGGCCGCGGCGAGCCUGACGCACAAGGAGCGCCGCCUGCACCAGAUGAUGUUCGAGGACAGGGACUACGGCGCCGCCGGACGGCCGGACCCGCGGACGGAUGUCUCCGUGACGCACUGCGCCGAGCGCGGGUACACCGUGGUGGUGGUCCGGUGCAGGGACCGGCCCAAGCUGCUGUUCGACACCGUGUGCACCAUCACCGACAUGCAGUACGUCGUCCACCACGGCACCGUGAGCUCCGAGCCGGGCGGCGGCGCCUACCAGGAGUACUACAUCAGGCACGUGGACGGCCACCCGGUGAGCUCCGAGGCCGAGCGCCGGCGCGUCGUCCAGUGCCUCGAGGCGGCCGUGGAGCGCCGCACUGCCGACGGGCUGGAGCUGGAGGUCCGCACCGACGACCGCGCCGGCCUGCUCUCCGACGUCACCCGCAUCUUCCGGGAGAACGGGCUGACGAUACGGCGCGCCGAGAUAUCGUCCGAGGACGGGGAGGCCGUGGACACCUUCUACCUGUCGGACCCGCAGGGCCACCCAGUGGAAGCCAAGACGAUCGAGGCCAUCCGCGCGCAGAUCGGCGAGGCCGCGCUGCGGGUAAAGAACAACCCGCUGGCCGACGACGGCGGUUCCAGCUCCGAGGUCGCCGCCGGCUCGACGGCAUUCCUCUUCGGGAACCUCUUCAAGUUCUACCGUCCGUUCCAGAACUUCGGCCUCAUCAAGCUCUACUAG